rnacentral:lncRNA from 10 species
GCAGAGGAGCCUGGCAACCAUGUCCCAAGUUGGAAGGAAGCUCUGAGAACCCUGCUCCCCAGAAAUCCUGAGCAAAGGCUGGCUGGCCUACAGGAGCAGUCUAGAGUAAGAGCUGUUUCCUGGCAGAGGAUCAAGUAUCCAGGUCACAUUGAAGAGACAUGUGAGGACUCCAAUGGAGAACAAUUUGAGAGUGAGAAACCAGUUCUGGAGGCCAGGAAGUUCAAGAUCAAGGUGUUGGCAAGUUCAGUGUCUGCUGAGGACCUGAUCUCUCUUCUUUCAAGAUGGCAUCUUGUUGCUCUUCCCUCCAGAGAGUAGAAAUGCUGGAACCUCACAUGGAGGAAAAAAUGAAAAGGACCAAUGCUAGUUCCCUUCAGCCUUUUUAUGAACUCACUAAUUCCCAUUGAGGGCUCCACAUACAUGACUUAAUCACCUCCUAAAUGCCUGACUUCCUAAUACUCUCAUUUUGAAGAUUAAGUUUCAACAUAUGAAUUUGGGGGUCAUAUUCAGAACAUAGCACUUAUGAUACUAUCUCAAAUCAUAGACUGCUUUCUCGGUGGGCAUCUAUCUCAGUUUCUUUUCUGUUGUUAUUACAGAGUACCUGAGCCUGAGUAAUUUAUAAAGAAAAUACAUUUAUUUUGGCUCAUGGCUCUAUAGGCUGGGAAGUCCAAGAUUGGGCGGUUACAUCUGGUUGGCUCCUGGUGCGGGCCUCCUGCCGCAUCAUAACAAGUGAUGCCUGGGACCCAGCUGAGAUCUCCAUCAUCUCUCAAAACAACUGUGCACUGACCUCCUGACCUAAGCCCAGCCUCUGCCCACUCAGACUGACCUUCACGCAGCUGCACAAUGCUGCAUUUGGAAGCCGGACCUGACCACAUUCGUUUCCCUCUAGAUUCAUGUUCUGGAGAAAUGAAAAUGCUGUCUCAGUGGAAUGUUGAUUAGCUGGAGUGGAGACCCAAGAUCUCUGUCCAGGCAGGGCCAUCAAAACAUAGAAGUGCUCUUGGCUUUCCAAAAUCUGCACAUCUCCAACUUUUCUUUUAGCUAGAGGUGGCCCUGUGAUUGAUGAGUGACCAGCCAUGUGUGGAGAAAAGCAAUGUGAACAACUUCUGACUUCGCUGUUAAAGAAAAUUGGUCUGUCCCCCAUUUCCUUGCAUUCCCAUUCUUACUGGCUGAAAUUCAAAGCUGAUAAAUGGAGCUAGAGCAGAUAGCUGGGAAAAUGAGUUGAGGGUCUUACAUUAAGACUUGCCAGCAAGAAGAAGAAUUUUUCCAGGGUUCCUGACACCGCCAAAUUGUUCGAUCAGCUCUGAACUCUAUACUGAGAUUCUUUAAGUAUGAGAGACAUGAACUUUGACUGGCUUAAGUGAGCUAUUGAGGUCUCUUUGCUAUUGUGACCUAACUCAGGGGUCAGCAAAUAACACUCUGUGCGCAAAAUCUGACUACGAUCUGUUUUUGUAACUAAAUAAAAUUUCACUGAAACACACCCAUGCUCAUUUAUUUAGGUAUGGCUGCUUUCAUGAUACCAUGGCACAUUUGACUACCUAUAGACAGUGAUAUGAUGUGGAUCUGUGUCCCCACCCAAAUCUCAUGUUGAAAUGUAAUCCCCCUGUGCUGGAGGUGGGAUCUGGUGGGAGGUGAAAUGGGGGCGGUUUCUCAAGAAUGGUUUAGCUCCAUUUCUCUGCUGCUGUAUUCAUGAUAGUAAGUGAGUGAGUUGUCACAAGAUCUGAUUGUGUAAAAGUGUGUGGCACCUCCCCCUUCUCUCUUGCUCCUUCUCGGCCAUGUAAGACCUGCCUGCUUCCCCUUCACCUUCCACCAUGAUUGUAAAUUUCAU